UACACACUGAAUUUUUCAUGUGACUGCUUUGCAGUGGUUUUUAAAUGUUUUCUUCUCAUUUACCUAUGUUCAAAUGCAAUCACAUGGCAUAGAACUGAAAGCAGUCCUAGUCUUAUCUUAAUAAUAGGAGUUCAGCAGUUGCCAAGUAUAAGUUAGGUAGGGAUAGACACUGAAGAAAUUCUGUUCCACUUUGCCAGUAAUACCAGACAGUGUGAAAUGGGCUCUUACGACCAAGUCACAUUUUGAUAACUGUUCAGCAUUGCAUUUCCUUUGUACUUUGAGUUAUAUUCCACAUCUGAUCACUGCUGUGUCACAUAGCUCUGAGUCUUACACUAGAUGAAAUGAUUUACUAAUGGCCUGAGCAGUGAUGUUGUGUUCUCCUUUAUCCAGUUAAGUGCUGCUCACUCCCUAAAUUCUCAGCUAACACUUUCUGAGCUACAAUGAGUGCAUACCCCCUUGUAUUUUCUGAACCCUGUGGGAUCUAGAACCAACUGGCCUGCAGGGCUAUGUAAUCCAAUUGUACAGGUAAUGUGACACUUCUUCAACCAAGAGGUUUUUGGGUAAUGAAGAACCUAUUCAGAGUACCUAAUGUUAGACAAACAUGCUGUAAUGGGCAGGGUGUGAUUGGUGGAAGGUCCAAAACCAUUAAUAAAGAUUCCUUGUAAGGUAAUGUCCAUUGAAACUGUUCUGUUCUGCAUUCCUCUCCCUCAGUGUGCUCCAGGGUGCAUCUUGCGGAUCAAAUCCUGCGUGUCUCCUGCAUUUUGUUACAUUACCUACUAACAUUGUUAAUACAUAAUCCUGAGGACUUUGAAUAUACCAGUAGAAGAAAUAUGCUUGACAAAACCAGAGGACAUUUUCUCUUCUAAGGAAAAUCUCAAUUGUUUGUCUGUUGAAGAGAAAUCCCUUGUAAAAAGGAAACUUCACGGUGAAACUCUUGGAAAUCCAACUGAGAGGCUAGAAAUCAUCUCCUAAUGGAGCCUACAUCGGAACAGAUACUACAGGGAUUUUAUUUUCCUGUGGUAAAUAAAAGUUCAGUGGAAUGGAAAACAAUUUUUCUUAAGCAUUACUGGAGGCCAUCAAACAGCGAGAAGGAAUAAUUUUUCUGCUGCUGCGUGUUCAGCAGAAUUUAAAGAACAAUUCUCUGAUCCAGAACUGGAGGAUG
rnacentral:lncRNA from 1 species